rnacentral:misc_RNA from 1 species
GAUGAAGAACGUAGCGAAAUGCGAUAAGUAAUGUGAAUUGCAGAAUCCAGUGAAUCAUCGAAUCUUUGAACGCACAUUGCGCCCGCCAGCAUUCUGGCGGGCAUGCCUGUUCGAGCGUCAUUUCAACCCUCGACCUCCCUUUGGGGAAGUCGGCGUUGGGGACCGGCAGCACACCGCCGGCCCUGAAAUGGAGUGGCGGCCCGUCCGCGGCGACCUCUGCGUAGUAAACCAACUCGCACCGGAACCCCGCCGUGGCCACGCCGUAAAACACCCAACUUCUGAACGUUGACCUCGAAUCAGGUAGGACUACCCGCUGAACUUAAGCAUAUCAAUAAGCGGAGGA